GAUGAACGCUGGCGGCGUGCCUAAUACAUGCAAGUCGAGCGAACAGACGAGGAGCUUGCUCCUUCGACGUUAGCGGCGGACGGGUGAGUAACACGUAGGUAACCUACCUAUAAGACUGGGAUAACUUCGGGAAACCGGCGCUAAUCCCGGAUAAUAUUUCGAACCGCAUGGUUCGAUAGUGAAAGAUGGCUUUGCUAUCACUUAUCGAUGGACCUGCGCCGUAUUAGCUAGUUGGUAAGGUAACGGCUUACCAAGGCAACGAUACGUAGCCGACCUGAGAGGGUGAUCGGCCACACUGGAACUGAGACACGGUCCAGACUCCUACGGGAGGCAGCAGUAGGGAAUCUUCCGCAAUGGGCGAAAGCCUGACGGAGCAACGCCGCGUGAGUGAUGAAGGUCUUCGGAUCGUAAAACUCUGUUAUUAGGGAAGAACAAACGUGUAAGUAACUGUGCACGGCUUGACGGUACCUAAUCAGAAAGCCACGGCUAACUACGUG
rnacentral:rRNA from 1 species